rnacentral:rRNA from 1 species
AGUGAACGCUGGCGGUAGGCCUAACACAUGCAAGUCGAACGGCAGCACAGUAAGAGCUUGCUCUUACGGGUGGCGAGUGGCGGACGGGUGAGGAAUACAUCGGAAUCUACUUUUUCGUGGGGGAUAACGUAGGGAAACUUACGCUAAUACCGCAUACGACCUACGGGUGAAAGCAGGGGAUCUUCGGACCUUGCGCGAUUGAAUGAGCCGAUGUCGGAUUAGCUAGUUGGCGGGGUAAAGGCCCACCAAGGCGACGAUCCGUAGCUGGUCUGAGAGGAUGAUCAGCCACACUGGGACUGAGACACGGUCCAGACUCCUACGGGAGGCAGCAGUGGGGAAUGUUGGACGAUGGGCACAAGCCUGAUCCAGCCAUACCGCGUGGGUGAAGAAGGCCUUCGGGUUGUAAAGCCCUUUUGUUGGGAAAGAAAAGCAGCAGGUUAAUACCCCGCUGUUCUGACGGUACCCAAAGAAUAAGCACCGGCUAACUUCGUGC